GACGAACGCUGGCGGCGUGCCUAAUACAUGCAAGUAGAACGCUGAAGGAGGAGCUUGCUCUUUCCGGAUGAGUUGCGAACGGGUGAGUAACGCGUAGGUAACCUGCCUGGUAGCGGGGGAUAACUAUUGGAAACGAUAGCUAAUACCGCAUAAGAGUAGAUAUCGCAUGAUAGCUGCUUGAAAGGUGCAAUUGCACCACUACCAGAUGGACCUGCGUUGUAUUAGCUAGUUGGUGAGGUAACGGCUCACCAAGGCAACGAUACAUAGCCGACCUGAGAGGGUGAUCGGCCACACUGGGACUGAGACACGGCCCAGACUCCUACGGGAGGCAGCAGUAGGGAAUCUUCGGCAAUGGACGGAAGUCUGACCGAGCAACGCCGCGUGAGUGAAGAAGGUUUUCGGAUCGUAAAGCUCUGUUGUAAGAGAAGAACGAGUGUGAGAGUGGAAAGUUCACACUGUGACGGUAUCUUACCAGAAAGGGAC
rnacentral:rRNA from 1 species